CAGGUCGUUUCAAAUGGUUAAUCCGCGGGACAUAUGCACAUAGGUACAUAAAUACAUACAUUCACGCACUGUAAGAUCGGUUUCUUUUUUGAG